UACGUAGGGUGCAAGCGUUGUCCGGAAUUAUUGGGCGUAAAGAGCUUGUAGGCGGUUCGUCGCGUCGGCUGUGAAAUCCCGGAGCUCAACUCCGGGUCUGCAGUCGAUACGGGCGGACUCGAGUUCGGCAGGGGAGACUGGAAUUCCUGGUGUAGCGGUGAAAUGCGCAGAUAUCAGGAGGAACACCGGUGGCGAAGGCGGGUCUCUGGGCCGAUACUGACGCUGAGGAGCGAAAGCGUGGGGAGCGAACAGG
rnacentral:rRNA from 1 species